ensembl:snRNA U6 U6 spliceosomal RNA
GUAAUCACACCUAUACUAACAUUGGAAUGAUACAGAGAAAAGUAGCAUCACCCCUGCAGAAGGAUGCAACACAAAUUCGUGAAGCAUUACAUAUUUUU